CGGCGGAAGUGCCAGUCCGCACGGCCAAGAUGGCGGCGCCCAGGCGGGUUUGGUUGGAGUAGGUUGCUGUUUGCAGAGACCCCGAUCAAGUUACUCAGGUGGAGAACCCAGAAGCAAGGGGUGGAUGAGAGGGAGUACUGGAAGGAGUCGUACAAAGGGCACAGCUCCAGGGCCAUGAUGCUGUCCAGACCGAAGCCUGGAGAGUCAGAGGUGGACCUGCUGCGCUUCCAGAGCCAGUUCCUUGAGGCUGGUGCAGCCCCGGCGGUGCAGCUGGUGAAGGGGAGUAGGAGGCAUGGUGAUGCUCCUCCAGACCGGCUCCCACCGCAGGACCAUCGGGAUGUGGUGAUGCUGGACAAUCUCCCAGAUUUGCCCCCAGCUCUGCUUCCCGCUCCUGCAAAAAGAGCAAGACCGAGCCCUGGUCACCCGCUGCCUCACGAUGAAGACCCUGAAGAGAGGCUGAACAGGCAUGAUCAGCACAUCACUGCUGUCUUGUCUAAGAUUGUUGAACGAGAUACAAGUUCAGUCACUGUGACUCUGCCUGUGCCCAGUGGUGUUGCUUUCCCGCCUGUGUUCCAUCGCUCUCAGGAGAGACAGGUGAAACCAGCAGCAUCUGGUAAAAGGAGCAUCUUUGCCCAAGAGAUUGCAGCAAGAAGGGUGUCAGGAAACAGGGUGACAUCAGCUGAGCAAGUUGUCCCCAGCCUAGACACACCAGAGGGUGCUGUGCCCUGUGAGACACCCUCCUUCAGGGACAGAAGCAACCAGCUUCCUGGGAGGAGUCAUGGCUUCCACAGACCAAAUCUAGUCACAGGAAAGGGGCUCAGGAGCAAGGUGGCUGAGCAGGAGGUCCAGACAAUCCAUGAAGAGAAUGUAGCAAGACUACAAGCCAUGGAUCCUGAGGAGAUCCUGAAGGAGCAGCAGCAGUUACUGGCUCAACUCGACCCCAGCUUGGUUGCCUUCUUGAGAUCUCAUAGCCAGGUCCAGGAACAAACAGGAACAAAGGCCACCAAGAAGCAGAGUCCAAAGAGACCCUCAGUUCUUGUCACUAAAGAAGAGCCUGUCACGUCAACUCGUACAAGGGAGCCUAGGACUGGGGACAAGCUGGAAGAAAAGCCGGAGGCCACGGUGGAGGACAAGAUGGAAGACAAGCUGCAGCCAAGAACCCCAGCACUGAAACUGCCCAUGACCCCCAGCAAAGACUGGCUCCACAUGGACACCGUAGAGCUGGACAAGCUCCACUGGACCCAGGACCUGCCCCCACUCCGGCGGCAGCAGACACAGGAGAGAAUGCAGGCUCGAUUCAGCCUUCAGGGCGAGCUCCUGGCGCCUGAUGUGGAUCUUCCCACACAUCUGGGCCUGCACCACCACGGAGAAGAGGCCGAGCGAGCAGGGUAUUCUCUACAGGAGCUGUUCCACCUGACCCGUAGCCAGGUGUCCCAGCAGAGAGCACUAGCAUUGCAAGUGUUGUCCCAGAUCGUCGGCAGGGCCCAGGCUGGUGAGUUUGGGGACCGCCUAGUGGGCAGUGUCUUGCGCCUCCUCUUGGAUGCUGGUUUCCUCUUCCUGCUGCGCUUCUCUCUGGAUGACAGGGUGGACAGUGUCAUCGCAGCAGCUGUCCGGGCUCUUCGUACUCUGCUAGUGGCUCCUGGAGAUGAGGAGCUCCUGGACCGCACCUUCUCUUGGUAUCAUGGAGCUUCGGUGUUCCCUCUGAUGCCCAGCCAGGACGAUAAAGAGGAUGAAGAUGAAGAUGAGGAACUCGAAACAGAAAAGGUGAAGAGAAAGACACCUGAGGAAGGAAGCCGCCCUCCCCCGGACCUGGCCAGACAUGAUGUCAUCAAGGGGCUCCUGGCUACCAACCUGCUUCCUCGGCUCCGCUAUGUGCUGGAGGUGACCUGCCCAGGACCCUCUGUGAUCCUUGACAUCCUGGCUGUGCUUAUCCGCCUGGCCCGGCAUUCCCUGGAGUCGGCCAUGAGGGUCCUGGAGUGUCCUCGGCUGAUGGAGACCAUAGUUCAAGAGUUCCUGCCUACCAGUUGGUCCCCUAUAGGGGUGGGGCCUACUCCCAGUCUAUAUAAAGUGCCUUGUGCUUCUGCCAUGAAACUGCUUAGAGUCCUGGCUUCAGCUGGGAGGAAUAUUGCUGCUCGACUGCUAAGCGGCUUUGAUGUCAGGAGCCGCCUGUGCCGAUUCAUAGCUGAAGCGCCACAUGACCUGGCCUUGCCCCCCGAGGAAGCAGAGAUUCUGACCACUGAGGCCUUCCGUCUGUGGGCCGUGGCUGCCUCCUAUGGCCAGGGUGGUGACCUUUACAGGGAGCUGUACCCAGUGCUGCUGCGGGCCUUGCAGACACUGCCUACAGAGCUCAGCGCUCAUCCCCUACAGCCCCUGGCCAUGCAGCGGGUGGCCGCUCUGUUCACACUGCUUACCCAGCUCACCCUGGCAGCUAGCAGCAUACCUCCUGAGCCCGCCAGUGGCCCUGCUGAGUCCUGUGUGCCGGCCAUCCCUUCCUCAGUCACCUGGACACAGGUGUCUGGACUCAAGCCACUGGUGGAGCCAUGUCUAAAGCAGACCCUAAAGUUCCUGCCCAGGCCGGAUGUGUGGAAUGCCCUGGGCCCAGUGCCCAGUGCCUGCCUUCUGUUCUUGGGUGCUUACUAUCAGGCCUGGAGCCGGCAGUCACACUUGUGCCCAGAAGAUUGGCUUCAGGACAUGGAGCGCUUGUUGGAUGAGUCCUUGCUGCCACUGCUGAGCCAGCCUCCUCUGGGCAGUCUGUGGGAUUCCUUAAGGGACUGCUCCCCACUCUGCAAUCCGCUGUCCUGUGCUUCCAACCCGGAAGCCCUCCCCAGCCUUGUGUCACUGGGCUGUGCAGGAGGCUGUCCCCCUCUCAGUGUGGCUGGCUCAGCCUCACCCUUCCCGUUCCUCACUGCCCUCCUCUCCCUCAUCAACACUCUGGUCCAGAGCCACAAGGGGCUCUGUGGACAGCUGUCUGCUGUGUUGACUGCCCCAGGACUCCAGAACUACUUUCUCCAGUGUGUGGCUCCUGCGCCUGCCCCACAGCUCACACCCUUCUCUGCCUGGGCCCUGCACCAUGAGUACCACCUACAGUAUCUGGUGCUUUCCUUCGCCCACAAAGCGGCAACACUGCAGCCAGAACCAGCUGCCAGCACUGCCCUCCACCAUGCUGUAGCCUUGGUCCUGCUGAGCCGGCUGUUGCCUGGAAGCGAAUACCUUGCCCAGGAGCUGCUGCUGAGCUGUGUGUUCCGGCUGGAGUUCCUGCCGGAAAGUGCUUCAGGGGGCCCAGAGGCAGCUGACUUCUCCGAUGGACUGUCCUUAGGGAGCAGUGGGGACCCUCAGUGUAGACGAGGGGCCCUCCUCGUUCAAGCUUGCCGGGAUCUCCCCAGCAUCCGCAGCUGCUACCUGGCCCAUUGUUCACCAGCCCGAGCCAGUCUGCUGAGCUCCCAAGCCUUGUACUGUGGAGAGCUACUGCGAGUCUCAAGUCUGCUACUGCCUGUACCUAAGGAGCCACUGCUGGCCACUGACUGGCCCUUCCAGCCGUUGAUACAUCUCUACCACCGAGCUUCAGAUACUCCCUCUGGGCCACCUGCUGCUGACACUGUAGGCGUUGCCAUGCGGGUCCUACAAUGGGUGCUAGUUCUGGAGAGCUGGCGCCCCGAGGUCCUCUGGGCUGUGCCCCCUGCUGCCCGCCUAGCACGUCUCAUGUGUGUGUACCUGGUGGAUAGCGAGCUGUUUCGAGAGACUCCCAUACAGCGACUGGUGGCAGCUCUUUUAGCUCGGCUCUGUCGGCCCCAAGUCUUGCCAAACCUCAAGCUGGACUGCCCCCUCCCUGGCCUGACCUCUUUUCCUGACCUUUAUGCCAGCUUCUUAGACCAUUUUGAGGCUGUCUCUUUUGGGGACCACUUGUUUGGGGCCCUGGUCCUCCUUCCUCUGCAGCGUAGGUUCAGUGUUACCUUGCGCCUCGCCCUCUUUGGGGAGCACGUGGGAGUGUUGCGAGCACUUGGCCUGCCUCUGACUCAGCUUUCAGGCACUAAAGAAGGGAGGUCUUUCUAGGACCUGAUUUCUGCCCUGUGAUUUGAUGGCAUGUGACCAACAGUCAUCCACUGCUGCUACUGAUGGACAUUCCCACUUGGCCCUCAGCAUAUCAUUUCCUUCUGUCACAGCUGCCUGUGCCUCUGGAGUGCUACACAGAGCCUGCUGAAGACAGCCUGCCUCUCCUUCAGCUCUACUUCCGGGCCUUGGUUACUGGUACACUCCGUGCACGUUGGUGCCCCAUCCUCUACACUGUAGCCGUGGCUCAUGUCAACAGUUUCAUCUUCUGCCAAGACCCAAAGAGCUCAGAUGAGGUAAAGACUGCCCGAAGGAGUAUGCUGCAGAGAACGUGGCUGCUGACAGAUGAGGGGCUGCGGCAGCAUCUCCUCCACUAUAAGCUUCCCAACUCCAGCCUCCCAGAGGGCUUUGAGCUGUAUUCCCAGUUACCUCGCCUGAGGCAGCAGUGCCUUCAGACACUGCCCACAGAGGGGCUCCAGAAUGGAGGAGUCAAGACAUAGGGCACUUGCCCCCAGCUAAAGAUGACUACUCUACUCUCCUGGGACUGAGCAGUGAGCCUCCCGAGAGAAGGCAACACAAGACUUGCCUUCCUGUGAGCACAUUGUUUGAGCCUUUUUUAGAACAGAAGGGACUCGUAUUACAUCAUGAUACUGGAGCUCAGGAUCUGGGGGCUGAGGGCUGUGCCAGGCGUGGAAGGAGGGUGGCUUCAGUGUUUACCCUGCGGUGCCCAGGACAGUCUGAGCACAGCUCUCCUCACUCACCUCCAGUCUUCACCAGACCAGGAUGUGCAAUUACUGUGCUACACUCUGAAAUAAAUUCUUUUCUAGUCUGACU